rnacentral:lncRNA from 1 species
AUGUCUCGCAGGAAAUCUUUUGCUCCAAGACAUGGGUCCCCGGGCUUCCUGCCUUGGAAACACAGCAGUAGGCAUCAUGGCAAGGUGAAGAGCUUCCCCAGUGAUGACCCUUCUAAACUGGUCCACCUCACAGCUUUCCUGGGAUACAAGGCUGGCAUGACACAUCGUGUGGGAAGCUGGCCGGCUAGGACCCAAGGUGAACAAGAAGGAAGGGGUAGAGGCUAUGACCAUUGUGGAGACACUGCCCAUGGUGGUAGUAGGCAUCCUGGGCUACAUGGAAACCCCUCAAGGCCUCUGAAUUUCCAAGACCAUCUUUGUUGAGCACAUUAGCAAUGAGUGCAAAAGGCACUUCUAUAGGAACUGGCAUAAAGCGAAGUAGAAGGCUUUUACCAAGUACUGCAAGAAACUGCAGGGUGAGGAUGACAAGAAGCAGCUGAAGAAGGACUUCAACAGCAUGCUUGAAUAUCUACACCCAGAUGCACCUGCUUCCUCUAUGUAUGAAGAAGACCCACCUAAUGGACAUCCAGGUGAACAGAGGCACUGUGACCGAGAAACUGGACUGGUCUCUGGAGAGGCUAGAGGACCAGGUACCUGUGAAGCAAGCGUUUGGGCAGGACAAGAUGAUUGACAUCAAACGGGUGACCAAGGGCAAAGGCUACAAAGAGGUCACCAGUCAUUGGCAUACCAAGAAGCUGCCCUACAAGACCCACUGAGGGCUGUGGAAGGUUGCCUAUAUUGGGGCAUGGCAUCCUGCCCAUAUGACCUUCUCUGUGGCACGUACUAGACACAAACUAUCACUGCACUGAGAUCAACAAGAAGAUCUAUAAUAUCAGUCAGGGCUACUUCAUCAAGGAUGGCAAAUUGAUCAGUGCCUCCACUGACUAUAACCUGACAAGAGCAUCAACCCUCUGGGUGGCUUUGUCCACUAUGGUGAAGUGACCAAUGACUUUGUCAUGCUGAAGUGCUGUGUGGUGGGAACUAAGAGGCAAGCGCUCAUCCUCCACAAGUCUUGAUGCAGACCAAGCAGCAGGCUCUGGAGAAGACUGACCUUAAGUUCAUUGACACUACCUUUAAAUUUGGCCAUGGCCGCUUCCAAACCAUGGAGAAGAAGCAUUCAUGGGACCACUCAAGAAAGACCAGAUUGCAAAGGAAGAAGGAGCUUAA